UAAAAAGAAAAGGUAUAUUUUUGUCAUCUCAGCUCAGUACGCAUAGAAGUACGCAUAGAAGUAAAGUCUACCUCUAUUUACUCUACUGACUUUAUUAUACAUACCAGCUCUACUGACUUUAUUAUACCUGUACCAGGAACCCAAGCCUACCUCUUCUCAUUGAAGUUUCGAUGAACGGGGUAUUCCGUCAAGAGCCAAAUUGACCUGUACCGCACAAGGAAAGAUCUCAAUCGGCGUAGGGUAAAAGUAAGAAAGUGGUAUUAAAAAAAAGUAAGAAAGUGGUAUUAAAAAAAAGUAAGAAAGUGGUAUUAAAAAAACAAGGUUAAGCAAGAUUGUCAUUUUCCUAUGUGCAAUAUGUGCCCUCCUUUUUUUAUUUAUAAAAAUAAUUUUUCCUUUGUUCCAAAUUACACUUUGAAUUACUUAUAAAUUGGUACUUUUGUAAAAUAAUUGGACGUGGAUGUAAUUUGAAAUCAGUGUAAAAAUGUUACACAGUGUUUCGUUCCACAUUCCAAUUUUUUUUGGAAUUAAGUGUAUCAUUUGCUCUAAGCCAAUAAUUGUGAUACAUUAACAAUACUGUUCAUAAACUACGCGAAAUCUAAAGAGGCAUAUAAUCAAACAUAAAAAAAAAAUAUAACUAAAAUUGUAAAAAUAAUAAUUAUAAAAAUAUAAAUAUAUUUAUAAUAUAUAUAUUAAUAAAAAAAGUGAACUAUAUUAAUAAUAAACAUUAAAAUAAUAAUAAUAUUUAAAAUUAAUUUUAAAAAUAAUAAUAAUAAAUAUAAAUUAAAUAAUUUAGUAAUAAUUAAAUAAACUUAUUAAAUAAUAAUAUUAUUAAUAAUUAUUAUUUUUAUUUUAUUUUAUUUGUAUCAAAUAUUUAAUAAUAUUAUUAUUAAUAAUAAUAAAAAUAAAUGUAAUUAUUAAUAUAAAAUAAAUUAAUUAUCUUUUUAAAAUAUAAAAAUAAAUUUAUAAAAAAUAGAGAAUUUGUAUUUUUUUUAAUAAUAAUAUUAAUUAAAAGGGUGUUUGGGUGUUUUCUUAAACAGACGCUGCGAAAGAGGAAGACUUUUGAGAGAGAGCAGAAAAUGUGAACAAUCACAACUCAAAUUUUGUAAUCCAACACAAAAGGAUGGAAAAGCAAACCUAAAUCAACACAUUUACCGCUUUUCACUCUCUCAACAAACACAAUAUUAUACUUAAAAAAUCAUUAAAUAAAAAUUAAUUUAAAAUAAAAAAUUAAUUAUUAUAUUAACUAAAUUAAAAAUUAAUUUUAAAAAUUAAAAAUAUUAAUUUUUAUGGAUGGUGAAGCAAAAAGAAAUCAUUUGAUAGGAUGAAAUCAAAAGAUGAAUGAAAGAAGACGUAGAAACCCUAAACUACUAGCAAAUCAAUGCCUAAAAUGCAAAUAUAUCACGUCUUCCAAGUAACAUGUGUGUUUUGAUUUGAAAUUUGUGUGAAUUAGUAGUUAAAAUUUUGGUAACUAAUUAGAUACUAAUUUAGAAUUUAUUUAACAAUAAUAAAAACUAAUUUAGAAAUAAAAAAUUAUUUUAAUUUUUAAAAUAAUUUUUAAUUUAUUUAUAUGAUAAUUAAUUAUUUUUUAUCACUAAAAUUGAUUUCUAUUCAAUAAUUUUCUUGUGGUGUUAAAAGUGAAAUUAAAUUAAAUAAUAUUGCAACUAAAAAAGAAAAAACCAAUCCACUGUGUUCAAUUUUAUUUCCCUUUUACGUAUCCAAGAAGUUUAUAAGACACGAUAAUUUUGAGUGAUAGAUACUUGUAACUACGAUAUAACGUGAGAAGCUGAUCUCAGCAGUUGAAUUAUAAGCACAAAAUAAAAAUAUGUUGCUAUGUUGCUUGUUAAAUAAUGGUAGUAAAUAAAAUACAUCAAUUAUCAAAACUAAAGGCAAAGGGUUAUUUUAGAAGGCAGACCUUGGAAAUCCAAUCAGCGCAAACACCUCCAUGGACAUAUUUUGUAACUUCAAAUCCUUCUAGAACCCUAUUACAGAAUUUGAUAAUAAGAUAGUAUGCCACACCUUAAAAAAAUGUCGACUAAGGAACAGCAACUGUGGCAGACAAAAAUAACGAUAAACCUAGGCAUGUUGAAAUACGAGAUUCACUAACCAGAUCCCAAAGUAAACGAUUCAGUAACCAGAAUCCAAGUACCGUAGUUAUCAUAUUAAUUAUUUGUUGGGAGGAAGAGUAUGUUUGAGUAAACUUUUUCAUAAACACACUUAUAGGAGAAGAAAAUAAAAAGGAAAACUGAAAUAAAUCUCUUCAUAAGCUAAAAUUAUCUCACGCAUAACUUAAUUUGUAGAAACUCUCAUAUUUGCUUCCCCAAAAUCUUAUUAUUAUCUUAUACAUAGGCAAAUUUCAACUUACAGAGAACUCUAUUUCACUUUCUUUCAUAUUUUCUCCUCCUAGAAGUACUAUCUCCUCCUAGAAGUACUAAGAGAAAAAUGUAUUCAGACAGACAUAUAUAGUCAAAUUCAUAAAAUUCCAACCAAACCAAAGCUUCCUCCACCAGGGAUAAAUUAACAAGCCCUUUACAGCACACAAAAUUAACGCAUAAACCAUCACCAGGGAUAAAUGAACCUGCUAAGACAGCAAAGAGAAACCAGAAAAAAAAAAGCCAAGCCAAAGCCUCAACAGCACCAAAAAACAGUACUCAGAGUGGCAGCAGAGUUGUAUGGGACUUCUGAAACAACGAAGUAAAAAAUGAAAGUCAAAAAUCAAUUGUCAUGUACUCACAGUGGCCUACUUGAUUCACUUUCUUUGAUAACACUCUUGGUAUUGCAUUUUUAUUUUAUUUAAAGGCAUUCAAAUUCAAAACUUAUAAGGAUUCAUCAAUGUUUAAUUCUCCACCUUUAUUAGUAUCAAACAGUUUACGGGUUAUCAUGGAUAACAGCAGGGCAGGAUUAUCAUGGGUGGGUUAGGUUUGUUUUGUAAAUUGAGAUUGCUUUAUAAUAUGUCUUAAGGGUACUUGGCAAAGGUAUUUAUACAGACCUUGCUGCUUUUUAGGAUGAAUAAUACAUAGAAAGACUAAGCUUUUUCUAUCUGAUGGUUUUCUGUUUUGUAAGCUAGGUAAUAGGUUUUAUUUGGUUCUUAUACAAGAGACAUCCUUAAAAUGUUUCUUUAUAUUUAUUUUAUUUUUGUUGAUGAUAGAAAGAAUAGUAGAAUAGAAAUGUUUCUUUAUAUUUGUUGAUGAUAGAAAGAAUAGUAGAAUAGAAGAUGCUUUUGAGAAUGUCCUCAAUCAUGCAGAAGAGUCCAUUCUGCACAAAGGGUUUUCAAAUAGGAUGUCUUCAGAAUUCAACACUUAGAGGAUAAAUUUAAAUUUUUGUAUCAGUAAAAAAUUAAUUAAUUUAAAAGGAUAUUUAAGGUGUUCCAAUCCUAUAAAAAAAACAACAAUCCAACCCUCAUACUUACUAAUCAUAUUGCAGAAUUAAGCAUAAAAAACUCAAUAUAAAAAAGUGCAUAAAAAAGAUAAUUGGUUACAAAAAGUGCAUAAACAGGACUUUGUUAUUGUAAUUUGUGGGAACUUUGUAUCAAUAGUGCUACUUUUGGGAAGGGAAAUGGGGAAAUGGGGUUGUAUAUAUAAGGAAAAAUAGGUUAUAGGUGCUGUUUGUUUUGUCUCAUAAAUUCCCACUGCUGGAAAAUAGUGCAGAAUUUGCUGCAUAGAUUCAUCUUGCAGGUGCAGUGCUGGGAGUGCUAGGCUUUUAU
rnacentral:lncRNA from 1 species